GAUAUAGAAGCUAAAUACAAGAGAAGACGAUCGUGGAUGGUUGUCUUCCAUGUAGGGUACCAAUGGAGAAAAGACAGACUUUUCAAGUAGUAUUGGGAAAACUGGAUAUCCAUAUGUGAAAGGAUAAAGUUUGCUGGUGUUGAACUCUAUUUUUCGAGAAGGAAAAUGAAAGUGCUCUUGUUUGGCAUGUAACUGGAAGGGGAUUUUCCGUCUUUCAGAAAAGGAAAGUCUAUGUGGGCAUCUUAGUAAUGUAGCUAUGAAAGAACUCUAUCCAUCUUAGACAAUCUCUAGGAGUUGGAAAUUUGAAAAAAGUUCCUAGAUGUUCUACUAGAGAGAGGUCCUCCUUCUUCCGCCUUCCCCCAUCAUUGCUCCUUUCUUACCUUGAA
rnacentral:lncRNA from 10 species